AUUUCCUGUCACCUACCUGGGGAAUAGGCACUUCUCUCUUCUAAGCCAUGACUGGGAUUGGGGUCAGAUAGGGAAAGAGUUGAAAACAGGAGCAGGACAAGGGGAGAUGAAGGCUGAAAAAUGAGGGUUAGGGAUAGGAAUAGUGUCUGAAGGGUUGCGGCAGCCAGAGGGUCCUGUCCAUGUGACCCUUGAGAAGUUUGUCUCAGGCUCUAAACUUCUUCCCAUGUCUGAUUUUUUUCCUUGCAUUCCAGGGCUUGGUACCCUUGCCC
rnacentral:lncRNA from 1 species